rnacentral:rRNA from 1 species
GAUGAACGCUGGCGGCGUGCCUAAUACAUGCAAGUAGAACGCUGAAGGAGGAGCUUGCUCUUCUGGAUGAGUUGCGAACGGGUGAGUAACGCGUAGGUAACCUGCCUGGUAGCGGGGGAUAACUAUUGGAAACGAUAGCUAAUACCGCAUGACAACAGUUAUUGCAUGAUAACUGUUUAAAAGGGGCAACUGCUCCACUACCAGAUGGACCUGCGUUGUAUUAGCUAGUUGGUGAGGUAACGGCUCACCAAGGCGACGAUACAUAGCCGACCUGAGAGGGGGAUCGGCCACACUGGGACUGAGACACGGCCCAGACUCCUACGGGAGGCAGCAGUAGGGAAUCUUCGGCAAUGGGCGGAAGUCUGACCGAGCAACGCCGCGUGAGUGAAGAAGGUUUUCGGAUCGUAAAGCUCUGUUGUAAGAGAAGAACGAGUGUGAGAGUGGAAAGUUCACACUGUGACGGUAUCUUACCAGAAAGGGACGGCUAACUACGUG